rnacentral:rRNA from 1 species
UUGCCCCAGUAACGGCGAGUGAAGCGGCAACAGCUCAAAUUUGAAAUCUGGCCCCUGGGGCCCGAGUUGUAAUUUGCAGAGGAUGCUUUUGGCGAGGUGCCUUCCGAGUUCCCUGGAACGGGACGCCACAGAGGGUGAGAGCCCCGUCUGGUUGGAUACCGAGCCUCUGUAAAGCUCCUUCGACGAGUCGAGUAGUUUGGGAAUGCUGCUCUAAAUGGGAGGUAUAUGUCUUCUAAAGCUAAAUACCGGCCAGAGACCGAUAGCGCACAAGUAGAGUGAUCGAAAGAUGAAAAGCACUUUGAAAAGAGGGUUAAAUAGUACGUGAAAUUGUUGAAAGGGAAGCGCUUAUGACCAGACUUGGGCCCGGUGAAUCAUCCAGCGUUCUCGCUGGUGCACUUUGCCGGGCUCAGGCCAGCAUCAGUUUGCCCCGGGGGAUAAAGGCUUUGGGAAUGUGGCUCUUUCGGGAGUGUUAUAGCCCAUUGCACAAUACCCUGAGGCGGACUGAGGUUCGCGCAUCUGCAAGGAUGCUGGCGUAAUGGUCAUCAGCGACCCGUCUUGAAACACGGACCAAGGAGUCGUCUUCGUAUGCGAGUGUUCGGGUGUAAAACCCCUACGCGUAAUGAAAGUGAACGCAGGUGAGAGCUUCGGCGCAUCAUCGACCGAUCCUGAUGUUCUCGGAUGGAUUUGAGUAAGAGCAUACGGGGCCGGACCCGAAAGAAGGUGAACUAUGCCUGUAUAGGGUGAAGCCAGAGGAAACUCUGGUGGAGGCUCGCAGCGGUUCUGACGUGCAAAUCGAUCGUCAAAUAUGGGCAUGGGGGCGAAAGACUAAUCGAACCUUCUAGUAGCUGGUUUCCGCCGAAGUUUCCCUCAGGAUAGCAGUGUUGAACUCAGUUUUAUGAGGUAAAGCGAAUGAUUAGGGACCCGGGGGCGCUUCUUAGCCUUCAUCCAUUCUCAAACUUUAAAUAUGUAAGAAGCCCUUGUUACUUAGUUGAACGUGGGCAUUCGAAUGUAUCAACACUAGUGGGCCAUUUUUGGUAAGCAGAACUGGCGAUGCGGGAUGAACCGAACGCGAGGUUAAGGUGCCAGAGUAGACGCUCAUCAGACACCACAAAAGGUGUUAGUACAUCUUGACAGCAGGACGGUGGCCAUGGAAGUCGGAAUCCGCUAAGGACUGUGUAACAACUCACCUGCCGAAUGUACUAGCCCUGAAAAUGGAUGGCGCUCAAGCGUCUCACCCAUACCUCGCCCUCAGGGUAGAAACGAAGCCCUGAGGAGUAGGCGGACGUGGAGGUCAGUGACGAAGCCUAGGGCGGAGCCC